rnacentral:rRNA from 1 species
GAUGAACGCUGGCGGCGUGCCUAAUACAUGCAAGUCGAGCGAACAGAUAAGGAGCUUGCUCCUUUGACGUUAGCGGCGGACGGGUGAGUAACACGUGGGUAACCUACCUAUAAGACUGGAAUAACUCCGGGAAACCGGGGCUAAUGCCGGAUAACAUUUAGAACCGCAUGGUUCUAAAGUGAAAGAUGGUUUUGCUAUCACUUAUAGAUGGACCCGCGCCGUAUUAGCUAGUUGGUAAGGUAACGGCUUACCAAGGCAACGAUACGUAGCCGACCUGAGAGGGUGAUCGGCCACACUGGAACUGAGACACGGUCCAGACUCCUACGGGAGGCAGCAGUAGGGAAUCUUCCGCAAUGGGCGAAAGCCUGACGGAGCAACGCCGCGUGAGUGAUGAAGGUCUUCGGAUCGUAAAACUCUGUUAUUAGGGAAGAACAAAUGUGUAAGUAACUGUGCACGUCUUGACGGUACCUAAUCAGAAAGCUACGGCUAACUACGUG